GGUCCGCUCAACGUCACUCUCGUGAGCCCGGCCCCAGAGGCCCAGGCUGAUCCCGCGUCUACCGGCUGCAGGCUCCCGGCUGCUGGCAGCUGGGCAGCUCCAGCGGCUCCCUGCAGGGCUCUGCAAUGGGAAAACGUCUCUGGGCCGGAAUAUCGUUUUUCACAUAGACCAGUUGCAAAAGUAACAAGUUUGGGGUGCAGUUCUCCGUAGCAUCCGGGUCGCAGGGCAAGUACCCUAAGAAACGCCGAAGAUGGGGAGCUCCCAUGGAGGAACGUGGUGGUCCAGAGGAGCUCAUAGCAACAUCGAGAAAAUGAAUGGAGUUUUUAAGGAGGAGUGUAGAAGGCAUUUAAGAAGUUUAAGAAGGAGCUGCCAGCAGGAGAGCCUCCCACCCAUGCCUGUGCCCCAGGAGGAGUCCUAUAUAUGUACCUAAGAAAAAAAAUCACAUUGAGCCAAAUACGUAACCUACGUAAUAGGCACAGGAAACUCAAAGAUUUAGAGGAAAACCUUUUCAGAAUGCGGGAGAAUGCAGCAGAAUUUCACUAUUAGAGGCAUCCCCUGUCUUCUGUCACCUCACACUGGA
rnacentral:lncRNA from 1 species